CUGAGUUGCAGAACUCCCUACCAUUGUGAACCUACCUAUCGUUGCUUCGGCGGGGGGGGCCCUCAGCGGCCUCGCGCCCACCCCCUCGGGGGAGGCAGCCCGCCGGAGGCGUCCAAACUAUAGCAUACAUUGGCCUCUCUGAGUAGCUUAUAAAAUAAGUCA
rnacentral:misc_RNA from 1 species